UUGUUUCAGCAACACAUAUACUAAAAUUGGAAUGAUACAGAGAAGAUUAGCAUGACCCCCGUGCGGUGCAAGAAACAUAAUUUUUUAAUUGAGCAAUAGAAUUAG
ensembl:snRNA U6 U6 spliceosomal RNA